GUGAAGUGUCAAAAUGAUCAUUAAUGGAUGACCUAAUUUUACACUAAGAUAAUCUAAAAAACAUAAAGUAAGAUGUUGGAAUAAAGUGAUUAAAUACAUUAAAACAAGCAUGUAAAAUGACAAGGAGGAAAAUGAUGCAGGCUUGGCCCCACCAUGAUGACAAGCUCAGAAGAAGGACAUGGUCAGCCAGUGACCAGGGGUGGCCUGCCAUAGAGGCUCCCUGACAGCUCUCUGGGAUUUAGGGAGAAUCUCUAAGCAGUUCAGUUCUUUCCUUUGAUUACCCCUCCUCAGCCUACUUAAGGACACUCUGCAGACAGACUUAUUUGUUAGACAAUCAGUUUACCUAGAAAACAAGCAAACCAGAUUCUAUCUCCCUGAAUAUCUUCAGUUUUUUUCUCU
rnacentral:lncRNA from 1 species